AGCUUUGCGUGGUAGUGGUAUCGUAGCCAAUGAGGUUUAUCCAAGGUGUGAUUAUUGCUUAUUGAAAUGUUAUACGCAUUAACAUUUUCUUCUUUGUUCUAUUUUAGGGUGACUGGGAAUGUAAAUAAGAAUAAGCUG